rnacentral:siRNA from 1 species
UGUUAACUCCCUUGAUGGAUCCAAC